UGUACAUUCUCCUUGUUUUGGUGUCUUUCACACCCAAUGGACAUUCCCCACUUGGUCCAUGUUCUGGGAUAAGUGAAAGAACAUGGUUAUUAGAAAUUUUAUCAUGCAGUUGUGGUGGAUGUUGAGGUACAUUAAUAACAUAUGUGGGAUAUUAGCUUUUGUUUCUUAUUUUCCUUUUUAAAAUCUGAGCAUCUUUGUACUUUGAGGAGGUUAAACCAUUAUUUUUUUUGAGAGCAGAACCUUUGAACUUAUUGUUUCCACUUUUGCAUUUACUGUUUAUGUGACUAUUGUUUACUUCCCCUUUCCUUUUUCUCCCAGCAUAAUGUUUUUUCUUCAACUUCCUAUUUUUGUCAAUAUUACACAAAUACAUUUACAAACAUGCUCCUCAUACACCAAGAUUAUUUGCCUAUUUUUACAGAAAUAUCUUGAGGAAGAAUGAGAAGGCUUAGAAAAGAAAAUCUCCCCCAAGUGCACAUAGAUAUAUAAAAGCCAAUAGAAAGUCACAGUGUCCUUUCAUUUUGCUGACAUUUAAAGGACUGCAUUUCUUUUGGUGACCCCCCCUAAAGGCUUCUAACCCACAGUUUCAAGGACCUUCAUCAAAAGAUGUUAUCAUGUUGUGUUGACCAACAAAAACAGCACUAUCACAUAUAAAACCGGGCUGCACAGAACUCACUCAGCCUCAGAGGAACAAUAAAUCCAGAGCGAUUUUCAUAUUUCCAGUUCCAAACAAUAUUUUCAUUCUAGGCUUUAAGCAUACAUUUUUAUAGGUACUAGUUUCGUGCUUCCUUUUACAGUUCACACCACACUGUGCCCCAACUGUAAAAUCCCACAGGGACCACUGAGACGCUUAUGUCAAACUGCACCAUGGCUGUUAAUUCUUAAUGUCUGCAGUAAAUGUGCAGGCCUCAGGGUGAGUUCUAAGACCUGACCAUGGAAAACGAUUAAGGGAAGAAGUAGGAAAUGAGGGGCAGAAGAGACCAAGAAAAAACAAAAAGGCAAACACAAACUUAGUAUAAGAAAGUUAGACCUGGAAGGAAGUUGACCUCCUUAAUUAUACUGUAGAGUACAGUUUCCAAGACCAACCUAAAGUCGCUGCAAUAAUUUGUGCUUUGAAAUUCUAAACCAAUCAUAUUACAUCACCUUGUCAUAAUAGAAAGAGUUAACUCACUGAAGGAAUUAAAAAUGAAAAUGCAAGUAUUCCCAUCAUUAUGAUGAUUGAAGUUUCAUGGCAUUAUUAACAUUUUAUCCAAAACGCUGCUGU
rnacentral:lncRNA from 1 species